rnacentral:lncRNA from 1 species
UGACGGAGGUUAUGGAUAUCUCGUCAAAUUCCAUCGUCCGUCAUGUCAAAUUUAUACGACUUCCAGUUCGAGAUAUGGAAAACUCUUUUUCCAAAAUACCUGGCCAGAAAUUUAUCGAACUCAAUCUCAUAAAUCACAUAGGAUCACUUCUAAUCUUUCAAGGUCGAUAGAUCCCAUCUAGAUGCAACCCUAUUCCAAAAUGAACCUAUUGUAGUCAAUCCGCACUACAAGGACCCAAAUGGCUAGGGCCCAAGUUCACAUGCUCGUCAAACUACAGCAACUUGACAGUGGAUAGCUGAGGCAUCGUAGGUCAAAAGACCAGUCAUACAACUG